rnacentral:rRNA from 1 species
GAAGGGACCUAGCGUAGUUCGGAAUUACUGGGCUUAAAGAGCUCGUAGGUGGUUAGAAAAGUUGGUGGUGAAAUCCCAAGGCUUAACCUUGGAACUGCCAUCAAAACUUUUUGACUAGAGUAUGAUAGAGGAAAGUGGAAUUUCUAGUGUAGAGGUGAAAUUCGUAGAUAUUAGAAAGAACACCAAUUGCGAAGGCAACUUUCUGGAUCAUUACUGACACUGAGGAGCGAAACGAUGGGUAGCGAAGAGGAUUAGAUACCCUCGUAGUCCAUGCCGUAA